UGAGCUUCAGCUGGUAGACAGAUGGCCUUAAGUUCUCCUGCAAAAUGUCUUGAUAAACUUGGGAAUUCAUUUUUCCUUCGAUGAUAGCAAUCCGUCCAGGCCCUGAUGCAGCAAAGCAGCCCCAAACCAUGAUGCCCCCACCACCAUACUUCACAGUUGAGAUGAGGUUUUGAUGUUGGUGUGCUGUGCCUUUUUUUCGCCACACAUAGUGUUGUGUGUUUCUUCCAAACAACUCAACUUUGGUUUCAUCUGUCCAC
rnacentral:lncRNA from 1 species